rnacentral:rRNA from 1 species
UACAGAGGGUGCGAGCGUUAAUCGGAAUUACUGGGCGUAAAGCGUGCGCAGGCGGUUCGUUAAGUUCGAUGUGAAAGCCCCGGGCUCAACCUGGGAACUGCAUUGGAAACUGGCGAGCUUGAAUGCGGCAGAGGGGGGUGGAAUUCCGCGUGUAGCAGUGAAAUGCGUAGAGAUGCGGAGGAACACCGAUGGCGAAGGCAGCCCCCUGGGCCGACAUUGACGCUCAGGCACGAAAGCGUGGGGAGCAAACAGG